ACACGUGGGUAACCUGCCUGUAAGACUGGGAUAACUCCGGGAAACCGGGGCUAAUACCGGAUGCUUGUUUGAACCGCAUGGUUCAAACAUAAAAGGUGGCUUCGGCUACCACUUACAGAUGGACCCGCGGCGCAUUAGCUAGUUGGUGAGGUAACGGCUCACCAAGGCAACGAUGCGUAGCCGACCUGAGAGGGUGAUCGGCCACACUGGGACUGAGACACGGCCCAGACUCCUACGGGAGGCAGCAGUAGGGAAUCUUCCGCAAUGGACGAAAGUCUGACGGAGCAACGCCGCGUGAGUGAUGAAGGUUUUCGGAUCGUAAAGCUCUGUUGUUAGGGAAGAACAAGUACCGUUCGAAUAGGGCGGUACCUUGACGGUACCUAACCAGAAAGCCACGGCUAACUACGUGCCAGCAGCCGCGGUAAUACGUAGGUGGCAAGCGUUGUCCGGAAUUAUUGGGCGUAAAGGGCUCGCAGGCGGUUUCUUAAGUCUGAUGUGAAAGCCCCCGGCUCAACCGGGGAGGGUCAUUGGAAACUGGGGAACUUGA
rnacentral:rRNA from 1 species